rnacentral:rRNA from 1 species
CCAAUAGCGUAUAUUAGAGUUGUUGCAGUUAAAAAGCUCGUAGUUGAAUUUCGGGAUUGACGUGAUGGUCGUGCCUUACGGGGUAUGAACUGUUGCAGUCAAUUUCUCACCUUCUGGAGAAAUAUGAUGUCCUUAAUUGGGUGUCAUAUGGAACCAGAACUUUUACCUUGAAAAAAUUAGAGUGUUUAAAGCAGGCUUAUUGCUCGAAUACAUUAGCAUGGAAUAAUAGAAUAGGACGGCAUGGUUCUAUUUUGUUGGUUUCUAGGAUCACCGUAAUGAUUAAUAGGGAUAGUUGGUGGCAUUAGUAUUCAAUUGUCAGAGGUGAAAUUCUUGGAUUUAUUGAAGACUAACUACUGCGAAAGCAUUUGCCAAGGAUGUUUUCAUUAAUCAAGAACGAAAGUUAGGGGAUCGAAGACGAUCAGAUACCGUCGUAGUCUUAACCAUAAACUAUGCCGACUAGGAAUCAGACGAUGUUAAUUUUUUAAUGACUCGUUUGGCACCUUACG